rnacentral:rRNA from 1 species
UACGAAGGGGGCUAGCGUUGUUCGGAUUUACUUGGGCGUAAAGCGCACGUAGGCGGAUUGUUAAGUCAGGGGUGAAAUCCCGGGGCUCAAACCCCGGAACUGCCUUUGAUACUGGGUGUCUUGAGUCCGGAAGAGGUGAGUGGAAUUGCGAGUGUAGAGGUGAAAUUCGUAGAUAUUCGCAGGAACACCAGUGGCGAAGGCGGCUCACUGGUCCGGUACUGACGCUGAGGUGCGAAAGCGUGGGGAGCAAACAGG